UCAUGGUGGCGUCGUGGAUUCGGCGUAUUUGACGGCGGUUCGUGGAUUCGGAUCGUGGGCUCGUGGAUUCGAGUGGCGUCGUGGAUUCGGCGUGAUUGAAGCUUCGUGGAUUCGAAGUGAAGGCGUUCGUGGAUUCGGACGUGAGGGCGUGGACAACCCGGAGGGUAGCGCGAAGAUUCAUAGGAGGUUAAGAGAGGUUAAGUCCGUGGAGUCGGUAAUCACCUUGUAAUCUUUUCUCUUAGUGAAUUGUUUUUUCGCGUGUUGGUCCCGUGGGUUUUUCUCCAAGUUGGAGUUUUCCCACGUAAAUCUCGGUGUGCUUUUUAUUUUCCGCAUUUAUUUUUAUUGCAUCGAGAUUUGUGGUUUUUGGUCGUUCACCUAUUCACCCCCCUCUAGGUGAUAGAUACAAUCUAGAUAGAUCCUUGGGCUCCUCAAAACUUUCACACGCCCCGCCCAGAAACCACUACCAAUUUGGCACGAUUCGGGCCCGGCGACAGACCGCCGAACGGACAGCACCUCCCCUGUCCGCCCAA
rnacentral:lncRNA from 1 species